CUUAGGUGAAAUUAAAUAAAUCAAGAAUUUAAAAUUGAUAUUGUAAGCUGGAAGAGUAUUAGUUGAGGAUCAAAAUAAGCUAAAAAUAUUAAUAGGUCAUGGAGCUCCUUUUCGAGAUAUUUGAUUUAUAAAAUAUGGCGGGAAAAGGCUGACUCGGACUUUUACCUUAUAUUUGCAUUGAUAUUAUUUUGGUCUCAAAUUAAAAGAAAGAAAAUCAAGAAUCUGC
rnacentral:lncRNA from 1 species